UUGUAUUAUACUUUGUGACCGUGAUCAUGAUUGGUUAUAUGAUAAUGGUACUGAGAUAAGGGGAACUCCUAUACUUAUUUUAAUAAAUUAAAUUGAACUUCUUCACAAUGCAUAUUAAAUGGGGUUCAAUUCAUUGAAGAAUUUAUUUCAAAAAUUAAUCAUUAAAAAUGGUAAAACUACUCAACAGCAAUGUCAAGCCACGUCUGUGGCUACUCAAGAAACACCUGAUAGUGGUCCAGUAUUUGAUCCAAGUAAUGUUUAUAAAAUACUACCGGCUUUUGAAGAAGGACGCCAAGAAGAUGCUGAAGAGUUUAUGUGUUAUCUUCUUAAUAGAAUUAACAAUGAAAUGAUUGAUCUAAUUGAAAUGAGCAAAUCUAACAUAAACAAUGAUGAAACGCAAGCUGAAGUAGAUGUUAUCAAUAAUAAUAACAAAAGGAAGGAAGUUAACGGUAAACAUAAAAUGGUGACCAGAAGAACAGUUACGGAAAAAGACUCCAUUGUCUGAGAUAUUCCGUGGCCAGCUACGUACUCACACAGUGAUAAAUGGUGAAAAUAAACCGACUAAAAAUAUUGAACCUUUCUUCACACUUAAGCUAGAUAUUGUGAAAGCAAAAUCUAUUCUGGAAGUGCUAGGACAUGCUAGUCAAUAAAGACACACUCAAAGGAUUAACUUGUCCGAAAACCGACCGUGAACUAUAUGCGUACCAACGAGUUACUAUUGAUGAGUUACCUAAGGUCUUAUUAUUGCAUCUUAAAUGUUUUGAAUACAAGUAACAAAAACUGACUAAAAUUGUAAAAAGCGUGGAGUUCUUUGUUGAUCUCAAAAUUGAACCUAGUAAGUGCUCAUCAUAUUACUUAAGACACAAAUUCUAUAUUUCUAUUUUCUUCAAAUCUAUUUGUACAUUAUAAGAUUUGUUUUUGAAAUUUGGGUACAUGAAUUUGACUCUUGAGACUAGCAUUUGAGGAAAUGUAUAUUCAAAAGCUUAGUGUAGUGUCAUACAAAUAACGUUAGUUUCAUAAUUAUUAUUACAUUAAGUAUGAAGUGCCCUGCCCCUGUCCACUUUUAGUUUUAUAUUGAUACUUAACUAGUGCACUAAAAUGGAAAUAAUAAUUUUAACACCGACUUCCUUAAUUUAUGCGCACAUUUUACAUAAUUAUCUUAAAAAAUAAAAAUACGACAUUUUUAACUAACUAUUAUUAUAGAUGUAAAUAGCAUUUUUAAGAAUUUUGGCCAUUAAAAUUGUAUAUUCCGACAAUGUUAAACACAUGGAUUCAUAAAACUGGAGGGCUAAAUAAUUUUUUUUUAUAAUAAUACAAUCUGUAAAAAAUACAUUCAGUACCUAUUUGAUUAGAUAGGUAGUAUCGAAUAGGUAAUUAAUUUACUUUCUGUAUUAUCUAGAGUAGCCUGAUUUAUCUGAUAUAUUAUCAUAGGACGCAAACCCUUUAUAAAUUAAAUGUACCUACGUAUUAAACUAAAUAGUUUGUUGAUUUAAAUCAACUUUGAACUUAUUAUAGGAGUAUUAUUGAAGUUAUUUUAUUGAUGGAUUUUAAAACUUAUAGCAAAUUAAAAUGAAUCAAAUGUAUAUAAUAUACAUAUUAUAUUCCGUCAUUGUUUUAAACAUUUAAUUUUGUAGUUCUUAUAACUUCUGUUCAAGUUGAACAUUUUUAAUCAAGGUUUGGAGGGAAGGAAGACAUCGUUUUUAAAAUGUGGGAUAUAUUUUUACACAUAAACAUAAUAGUAGUCAAAAGUUACAUGAAAUAUGAUUAGAAAAUAGAUUGUAAAUUAUUAUACAGUACAAAAUACAACAUUAUUGAAUUAAAAUUAGCUGUUAAAAUAAUAAAUAUUAUAUUUAUACCUUUGCUUUAUUAUAUUUUUAUUAGCUACAACUAUAUGUGGUUAUUUGAUUUUAAGUAAUAUUUUAGUUACAUUUUAUAGGUAUUUUUAAAGCGGAAAUGUUUUGUCUUACGUUUUAUUUUAAGAUUUGUAUAUAAUUUACUAGAAGAAAAUCCUUAUCUUUCUAAUCCUAGGCUUUCAAUACAAAUCAAUUAUGUAAAAUUUGUUGUACAACCAGUUAGGUUAGGUUUAAUUAAGAUGUAACCACAUGGAAACAAUAUUUAUAUCUGUAGUUGAUAAGUAUGGUCGUGAUUUUUAUCCAGACAACUUACGAAAACUUAUCUAAUCCGAAACUUUUAUAAUUGAUAUCCUAUAAGACUUAUUUUACCAUUCAAACCGUGCAGUCUGCAAUGCCGCAUUAGAGGUAAUAUAAGUUAUUGAAAUAAUAAUUACAUAGACUUUAGAAUAUUCAGCAACCUAUUAGUAAUUAUAAUUUGACGUUUGAUUAGAUUUAUGUAAGACGUAAUUGCAUAUAUGGUUUUACAUGUUUGCAACAUUUGGAAUUGUCUGAAGAAAUACCAUUUCUUUUGCCUUCUUCUCAUCCAAACCAUCAACAAAAUAAGAUCAACUCUAGAGCUGAUGGUUCUGAAAUAUUGAAUUGCUAACCAAAACUCCAUUGCCGUAUGUCCCAACUUAUCAAAGAACAGGUUGUAUGGCAGCAUUUGAAUCAUUUACUCUUAUCUAUACUUCUCCUGUAUAUGUUUCACCGAGAAUUUAAAAAUGCCCUCAAAAGUGAAAGUGAAUGUAGACUAAGCUCAUCCUUUAAUGUAAGCUUGUCUCUUAGAGACCAAUGUUCCCCAGACUAAGAGAACGUUGAGGUAAUUUAGUAUAGUGUCAUACAAAUAAUGUUAGUUUAAUAAUUAUUAUUACAUUAAGUAUGAAGUACCCUGCCCCUGUCCACUUUUAGUCUACUUAUAAUUUUUUAUUCAUACUCAACUAGUGUACUUAAGUGGAAAAUCAAAACUAUUAUCUGACAGUUUGCAUAUACUAAACAACAAUAUUAUAUGGUCAGAAUAACGAAAAUUACAUCUUUCAGUAUGUGUGUUUAUAUUGUAUUUAAAUAAUAAUAAACAUUAACAUUUACACAGUAAAAAAUUUAAAUAAUGAAACUUAAUAGAUAUAAUCUUUAUUUCAAGUAUAAUAUAUUAUAGCAACAUUAACUAAUUUAAUUAAACAUUUGAUUAAAAAUGUUUUUUAAUGCAGGGCUCAUAUCAAAAAAUUCCAAGAUUGACAUGAAGACUAGACAGUAUAAACUCUUUGCAGUUGUUUAUCAUGAUGGUUACGGUUUGAUGACGCGUCAGUAUGUUUUGUCACCAACAAAGAAGUAUGUCAGCCAAAACCCCCGUGUAUGCCGUAUUUGCUGUACUACAGAAGAAAUGACACAAUUGCUGCACUCUCUGCGUUAGAUAAUAAAGGCAGAUAGUUUGUUAUUUUUACAGACAUUUUGCUAUUAUGUCCAAUAAGAACUUGGCAAUCAAUAAAAAACCCAUACCUUACCAAUAUAAAAAGAAAGCGGAUUGAACUAUAAUACCUAUCUAAUGCAUGACACUAUUAUUGCUAUUUAAGACACUGGAAGAUGAAACUGGUAAGAUACAUGGAGAAUUUUGUCAACAAUCUAUACAACCUCUACAGAAAGUAUCAAUCUGGAGAAUCUCUUUCUUGAUUUUGAAGAAUCUUAUCUGUGGGAUAACAACCAAGCUGUAGUACAAUGGUUGACGAGUCAAUUAGAUGAAUUCGAUGACAUAGUUGUAGCUGAUUUGUUGAUUGGUGACAACAUUUAGAGUGUUAGGAAAGAUGCAGUUAUAAAUCAAGUCAAAUCUACAAUAAAUGACAUACCUGGAGUUACAUCAGACAUAAACAUGGGUAUGUUCCAAAGCCUUUCGGAAAUGCAACGUUUCUACUUGAUUUAUAACUAACCCAGGCAACAAGCAUUGGAAAUGUGAAAUUAAAGAUUUGAUUACCUUUUACUAUAAGCAUUUAUUGUUGUUUAUUAUUAAACAAAAAUAUAAAUAAUUGUACUCUGGGACAUUUACGUACAAAUUAUGUUUACAAUACUACAUUGUACUAUACAUAAUGAAUAUGACGUCUGUGUGUUUGUGUUACUUUAAAAUAAAUAUUUUAGUUAUUUCUGUAUUGUACAAUUGAUGAAAAACAAAAUUAAUAUUGUUAACUUUCAGAUUUCAUACAUUGCUCAUAAUUUUAAUUUUAUUAUAAACAAAUAAUUACUGUCAACAGUUAUAUUAUAUAGUUUGCAAACAAAUAAUAACCAUAUUAAUACGACACUUGUUGAGGUGUAGUUUGGAACUAAUUGCACCAUUAUCGUUCUUAUUAUUAUUUAGUUAAAAAUACUCAAUUUUAAUGUUGACUUACAUGACAAAUUCAUGAAUGGGGACAUUGUAAUUUAAAUUUA